rnacentral:lncRNA from 1 species
UUUUAGUAAAAUAUUCAAUAUUUAAGUAAUACCUGUCAAAAAAUUCUACAUGUUUCUCAAAUACAUAGCACAUUUUAAUACCCUUGCAUAUAAUAUUUAUUUUUAAAAACAUGCGCGAUAUGAAAUAGCGAGCGGGAUGGAUGAAUUUCUGAAAAAAAUUAAAAUAAUUAAAAAAUAUAGGUUUUUUUUGUUGAAAAAAUGACAAAUACUUUGGAAUUAUAUUAACUAGUGAAGGCUCGCGCUACGCGGCGAAAAAUUUAUGUAAAUUUUAAAAUAUUUUAAAUUAUAUAGUAAAUAGAAGACAUAAGUAAUA